UAGUUUCUCUCUCUAUAUUAUAUCUAUAAAGUAAGAUUAAUAUUCAUUAUAUAUUAUAUGUAUAUUAUACAUAUAAUACAUAUAAUAUAUGUAAAUACUAUGUAUUUUGAAAAAUAUAUAAAGAUUUUUUACUAUAAAAAAUUCUUAGUCGUAAUUCUUAUUCUCAUAAACUUGUAUCAAUUACGCAUCUUUCAUAUGAGAUAUAAUGCAUCUAGGUAGGAAGACGCGCUUGGAAAAUCGAUAGAGCUACAGCUGUCGCGCAAAACCUGUAUUGCGCAAUAAUACGUGUUCUUUGCAUAAGGACGAGAAACAUCGAAUUUGGAAGGUCGUUAAUAUAUGAUUAAAUAAAUACGAUAAAAUUAUUGUAUAAUUCACUUAUGAUUACAUUACUUUUUUUAUCGUCAUCAAUUAUAUAAUAUAUAUAAUAAUUGUAACUCGAAAUAUUGACAUAUUACACAUAUGUGUUUAUAAACACAAUAUUAUCACAUGUAUUAAUUUUUGUAGUCAUUUCUUCAAAUUAUUAUUUUAAAACAAAAAACUUUUUUAUUUUAUCUUUAUGCUUUGUUUUAGUAUCGACAGAAUUCGUUCCUAGCAAACAUAUGUUCAGAAUAAUUGCGCAGUUUCAAAAACAUGUAUAAUGAAAUAUUUUUUUAUGAAAUUGCGUCGCAAUUUAAUAUUUAAUUAAUUUUAAUUAAAAACUUAGAAAAAAACAUACCUAUUGUUUUUUAGCAUGUUAAUAAUCGCACUCUUAUCUCAUAUCUAUGAAAAUAUAAUCUAAUUAUUAAAUUCAGUAAAAAAUAUAAUAUCUUUAUUCAGAGAUCAGAUAAAUGCAAAAGAAGUCACAAAAUGUUCCUUAAAAUUUCAUAUUUCAACUAUCAAAAUAAUAAAUAACGAGAAUAUGAUACAAACAUAUAUUCUAGAAAUAACGUAAAAGUUUAUAUUAUUAAUAAAGGCGAUUUUAGACAUUCCUUGAUUUCGAGAAUUACGUAUUUCUAAAAUAUAGCCCUUUCUCCUGACGUAACGAUGAAAACAAACAGUCAAAUAACACGAGGUUAGUCGUUCCUUGUUUUCGUAAACAUAGUUCAACCACCACAACUAUACUAUGUAUAUCAUAAGAGAAAGUAUAUGAUUGUGUGAGUUAGGUUAUAGUGGGGUUAGGUGGGAGAAUGUGCCAGAAAUCUCGUUGCUUUGUCGAUCAAUACUCGGUUUUUGCUUAUUAUUUUCGAAAAAAUAUGGUAAAUCGUAAUGAUCGUACCAUUGAAUAAUAAUUCAUGACACAAGGAACACAAUAAUAUUAAUGAUUGUCAUAUAUAUGAUGGAAAAAGUAUUGAAAUUACAAGUUGAAAGAUAAUGCGCAUUAGAUGCCGGGUGCCGGUACAAGUUCUCGAACUUUCAGCACUGCGACGCCGCAUGCCUAUAUAAGAGAGCCGGCCGGCUUGUCUCGGCGCAUUCGUAAACAAACUUUCGUUCAGUUCGGACGCAGUGAACACCCGAAGACCCACUAACCAGUGAAUAUACCUCUACUUCUUUUACGUGGUCCACGAGGCUGCUGACAAUACGACGUGAAAAUGUAGACGAGACGGAUUCGGUGCGGAGCGCGACAGUUUACCUGCACCCUGCGGGGUCGGUGCUUGAACAAUCCGUACGCAACCAUAAUCUGAUCUGAUUAGAGAGUUCGAAAUUUCUUCACACAUUUGAAGUAUUUAAGAAAAGCACUUCGAAUUAUAUGCAGUAGUUUAGAGCAGAUUCGUAGUUUGAAGUCGAAUAAAUCGUCGGCUCCAUCUUGUCAAAACGAAUACUCUACCACAAGAACAUAUGGAACUUUGGAAUUCAGAACGAAAAAUAAAAUCAAAACGGAACAGGAAAUAAAAGAAAAAAGGAACAUAAAAAGGCUCGAAAAAAAAAACGGAUCACUUUCCUAGCGUCGAGCAGCAUCGAGCGAGUCCUUUGCUCGGGACUCACUACCACCGAGCUCUUCUCUCCAUCUUUUUACCUUUUUGGGUGCCGUGAUAGUUAAAACACCAUCUGAAGAUAGACUCGAGGUAAUGUUGAUCACGUCGUGAGAUGGAGGCAAGACGUAUCUCCGUAUGAAUUGUCGGCUGACAAAUCCGUGCUCGUCUUGUCUCUCCUCGUGUUUUGCUUCGACAAUAACAUUAUUACCGACCGUCUUCACCGUAAUCUCUUCCGGUGAGAAUUGUUGAACGUCCAGUAUUACCUGUGGAGAUCAGAGCAGAACAAUUGAGACAGGCCCGAAGUUUAAAGGUCGAGCAGGGGUAUCUUUUAUUGGAGCACGAUGUUACGUGUAACGAAUAUGAUAUUUCAAAGAGGCAAUAAGAGAGAUCUGAACGACCAUUGAGAAAACACAUCCAUUUCACAUCCGAUUCUGGCCUCACAUCUUAUAUACCAUUGAUUCUAUUAAAUCAUCAUUUAUUGCGAAAAUUUCAAAUAUCAAGCUUUUUCACACCGAUUCAGGGAAAGGCUAAUUCUUUUGAAUUAACGCCGCUUUAAGCAAAUGAAGUUCGUCUUCGCCUGCUAUUAAAAACCUACGUUUAGAAUUAACACGUUAGGCAGUCUGUGUCUAUAUUACGAAAUAACAGAUUUCCUUCUCUGAAAGAUCCCUAAAUGUCCAGUUAUUGGAUAUAAAUUUGCAGUCAGCUAUUAGCUACAAUACGCACAACCUUUCUAAAAUCUUCUGUAUAAUCACUUUAAUAAGUAUUUGUCAAAAAAAAGUAAAACAUUGAAAAGUAUAAAAAAAAAAUCCGUUCUUCCGGUAAAUUCGAGUUAUCCAUGCAAAAUAGACGAGCCACGAGGCUCGUUGACGUUUAAAAAAUAUGAAUACAUAUUAGAAAAAAAUGUAGAAAAGUAGUCUGUUUUUCUAUUUUUUACCGGUUUCAAAGUUUCGCUUAUUUCCUCUUUUUUUAUAUAUAUAUAUCUAUAUAUCUAUAUAUAUAUAUAUAUAUUUAUAUAUAUAUUUUCAUAUGAUAUCUGCGUUUUCUUAUGUUGAUUCUAUAUGAAAGUAACCGUUGUGACGAGCAAACCGGAAAGAUGUAGUUGACAAACGAACCUACUAUAACAUCGUUUCUCUUUUUUUUUUUCUAUUCGCAGAAAAAACAAGCAAGUAGGUGGAAUAAUUUUUUAUUAAGCAAAAACAAACAGAAUUGCUGUGUUGAGACUUUUUUAUUUUAAAAACAAAUUAUCUUGUGAUUAGCAGUUCCAAUUUAAGGUUGUAAAAAGAGAAAAAAGAAGGAAGAUAUAAAAUAUAUCAAGGAAAAGCCAACCGUAAUUUUUUCGGGUGAUUCCUAUAUGAUCCCAAAAUCCGAUGAAAGUUAAAAAUAGAAAAAGAAUCUGUAUAGUGAUAUACAAAACCUUCGCUUUCUUUCUUUUGAGCAAAGUAGCAAAAGACCAAUAAACGGAUUUUAAAUCUCCAGUGCUGCUGCAUAUUGUAUACAGAGAGGAAGAGAGGGAGAGAAAGAGAGAGAUUGCGCACUUGCAUUUUUGUACAUAUAAAAUAUUUCGUAUUGAAUCGUUUUCUAUCGUUGAUGAUUCGAGAAGCAUUUAUUUUUAUAUAGAGAUUAUUAUAUAUAGCGAAAAGAGAGAUCCGAAAAUUUUAAAGGAAAGCCGAAUUUUUUAGUCCGAGAGCGGCGCCCCCAUUUAAGGGGGGUGCUCCGACACACACCUUACAUUUUCUCGGUUCUUUCUGUAAACAAAGAAAAAAAAAAAAAAGAA